CUUCAUCUCUAUCAACCAUGUCGCCGACUAGUCGACUACACCUCCUACUCUGCUACCGCAGCUCAGACUUUCCCCAAAUCCGGAGGAGCUGGAACCUUUAAACCACCUACGACUUCAUCAAAAAAUGCUCGGUUGGAAAGGUCUGCCAGUGAUCGAUGUCGUCGAUGUUCUAUUGGAAGAUUUUAACUGACUAGACUCGAUUGGUUCUGAGGUUGCGCAAGAUUUGGUGAAGAAUAUGGUUAGGGUUAUUUCUAUGGAUGGUACCUAAGGUCUUGUUCGUGGUCAACCGUUUUGAACAUUGAAUCUCUACUUAAAACUCAAGUCACAGACAAGCUUAAAGGACCACUCGAGGCACUUCGGCCUAAGAUGCAGGUAUUUAUCAAUCUGUCUCACCUCGUGAAAUCCCUUUUCUUCUUAUCUGAACUCUUGUCGUACCAAUUGAAAUGAUUACGUCGUUCACAGUUCUAAGUUGUACCUACUUAUCUUUCGUGGUACCUUGAGGAUCUUGGGCCAGUUCUUAAUGCGGUACCCUGAGGACCAUGAGCCAUUUCCUCGUGGUACUCUAAGGACCUUAAGCCAGAUUUUGACCAUCCAAUUUUGUAUCAUGGACACUAGUCCACCAGGAUCAUUAAUUAAGAGCAAAUAGGAUCGAUGAUCUAUACAGAUCUUUCAUCCUUAAAAGUGAAAAGAAA